rnacentral:rRNA from 1 species
UACGGGGGGGGCGAGCGUUGUUCGGAAUUAUUGGGCGUAAAGGGAGCGUAGGCGGUGCGGUAAGACUGAUGUGAAACCUUCAGGCUUAACUUGGAGCUGGCAUCAGUGACUGCCGUGCUAGAGUGCGGGAGAGGAUAGUGGAAUUCCCGGUGUGGCGGUGAAAUGCGUAGAUAUCGGGAGGAACAUCGGUGGCGAAGGCGGCUAUCUGGACCGCAACUGACGCUGAGGCUCGAAAGCUAGGGGAGCAAACAGG